CUCGAUUUGGCAUCCCCUAAAAUUCGCAGGGUAUAAAUACCUCACGAAUCCCAACCAUCGACUCAGUCCGGGAUCAGCAGCUGAAUCAAGAUGAAGCUUCACUUUCUUUUCGGUAUUCUAUUGUCGACGGUAAUCAUGUUGGCGGAAGCGAAUAAUGGGCUGAGCAGUCGGACAGGCAGUAUCCCAUGCGCGUGCUUCAAAGAACCCUGUCCUUGCCCGUUAUAGUAAACACCUAUGAUAAGAACACCUGGACGUGUAAACCAGUCUCCUGGAAAUACUUCUUUUCCAAGGAGU